rnacentral:rRNA from 1 species
UACAGAGGGGGCGAGCGUUGUUCGGAAUUACUGGGCGUAAAGGGCGCGUAGGCGGCCCGCUAAGUCGAACGUGAAAUCCCCAGGCUCAACCUGGGAACUGCGUCCGAUACUGGCAGGCUUGAAUCCGGGAGAGGGAUGUGGAAUUCCAGGUGUAGCGGUGAAAUGCGCAGAUAUCAGGAGGAACACCAAUGGCGAAGGCAGCUCGCUGGGACGGUACUGACGCUGAGACGCGAAAGCGUGGGGAGCAAACAGG